rnacentral:rRNA from 1 species
UACAGAGGGGGCAAGCGUUAUUCGGAAUUAUUGGGCGUAAAGGGCGCGUAGGCGGCUUUGCAAGUGACGGGUGAAAUCCCUCGGCUUAACCGAGGAACUGCCUGUCAAACUGCAUGGCUUGAGACCGGGAGAGGUGAGUGGAAUUCCCAGUGUAGCGGUGAAAUGCGUAGAUAUUGGGAAGAACACCAGCGGCGAAAGCGCGCUACUGGGCCAUUACUGACACUCAUGGACGAAAGCUAGGGGAGCGAAAGGG